GACGAACGCUGGCGGCGUGCUUAGCACAUGCAAGUCGAAAGAAGAGCGAUGGAAGCUUGCUUCUAUCAAUCUUAGUGGCGAACGGGUGAGUAACGCGUAAUCAACCUGCCCUUCAGAGGGGGACAACAGUUGGAAACGACUGCUAAUACCGCAUACGAUCUAAUCUCGGCAUCGAGGAUAGAUGAAAGGUGGCCUCUACAUGUAAGCUAUCACUGAAGGAGGGGAUUGCGUCUGAUUGGCUAGUUGGAGGGGUAACGGCCCACCAAGGCGAUGAUCAGUAGCCGGUCUGAGAGGAUGAACGGCCACAUUGGGACUGAGACACGGCCCAGACUCCUACGGGAGGCGGCAGUGGGGAAUCUUCCGCAAUGGACGAAAGUCUGACGGAGCAACGCCGCGUGAGUGAUGACGGCCUUCGGGUUGUAAAGCUCUGUUAAUCGGGACGAAAGGCCUUCUUGCGAAUAGUUAGAAGG
rnacentral:rRNA from 1 species